AUGUUUGCGACAGGGAAUUCUGCCAAUGUGUCAGUGGUGGACCUGACCCGCCAUCUGGAAAAACCUGCCAAAUAUGAUGACAUCAAAAAGGUGGUGAACCAGGCAUUGGAGGGCCUCCUCAAGGACAUCCUGGGCUACACUGAGCACCAGGUUGUCUCCUCCGACUUCAACAGCGACAUCCACUCUUCCACCUUCAAUGCUGGGGCUGGCAUUGCUCUCAAUGACCACUUUGUCAAGCUCAUUUCCUGGUAUGACAAUGAAUUUGGCUACACCAACAGGGUGGUGGACCUCAUGGUCCACAUGGCCUCCAAAAAGUAAGACCCCUGGACCACCAGCCCCAGCAAGAGCACGAGAGGAAGAGAGAGGCCCUCAUUGCUGGGGAGUCCCUGCCACACUCAGUCCCCCACCACACUGAGAAUCUCCCCUCCUCACAGUUUCCAUGAAGACCCCCUGAAAAUGGAGGGGCCUAGGGAAUCCCACCUCGUCACGUACCAUCAAUAAAGUCCCUUGUGCUCAGCCAA